CAGAUAUGUGGACUGAGGACAAUCACGUUGGUGUCCCGGCAGUAUUUGGACAUGACACUCCCCGGUGGACUGAGCCCAAAAGGACAAACCGCAAUGUGGUCCCGGCCGUACUUGGACAAGGUCUGAAAGUGUGGCUGAUUGGAGACAGCUACAUCCGACGUGGGGAAGAGAGAGCCACACAGACCACAGCCGGGACAAACCUUGGACUGGAUGGCCGUGUGUGGU